AGAAAAAUUGUGAUGUGUUAGACCCGAACUGCCAACCCAAGAGAUCUAGCUAUGGGUUACUUGAGGACAAAUUUAUAUUUGCUUGUUUUAACCAGCUAUACAAGAUGGAUCCUGAUAUUUUCAAUACAUGGUGCAACAUCCUUAAGCGAGUACCAAAUAGUGCACUUUGGCUUCUCAGAUUUCCUGCUGCUGGCGAGUCGAGACUCUGCAAUUAUGCUGUUCAAAGAGGUGUACAACCAGAUCAGAUUAUUUUCACAGAUGUUGCCAUGAAGGGUGAACAUAUCGAGCACAGUGCUUUAGCAAAUUUAUUCUUGGACACGUAAGCAUGCUUAAUACUUUUUUUAUAUUUUUUUAUUAUUCAAGUGUAUUUAUCUUAGUACAAUACAAUAUGUAACUUUAUUUUGACAUUUGAUGUUGCUAAUGUUGAUUGAUUUUGCUAUUGCUGUUUUGUUUCUUUAUUUUUUUUGGUGGUGUGUGCUCUGUAGCAUUGCAUUUAGUUAGCUUAAUAUUUAGCUCAUAUUUUCUUGAGUCGUUGCACCAGAAUUCCCUUAAUCAAGAGUCGUAUUCUGUCCCAAGGACAAUACUCAUCUUUUAGUUAAUUCCACUUGUAUCUUGAUCAGGUUAUGAAGUAAUUUUUUUAUUAUCUAUAUUGUGUUGAGACUUACUCAUUACUCAAAGCCUAUUGUGAAAAUCGAAAUUGUGAAGCUCCAAGAAUAUAAAGAGACUUUGAUUGCAUCUUUAAAUCUUUAUCAUUAUUUUCAUACGGCAUUUAUCAUCUAUUUUCCUUCAAUCAAUGGCUUAUUAUUAAGAGAAGUCUAUUACUCUGAAUUAGAUUAUCUUCUUCUCUAACUCUUUGGACCUAGGGAAAAAAACUGUAGUCAUUGUCCUCCUCUCCUUCUCUCCUCUGAUUUCUCAUUUUCCCUUUUUUGUAGAAUUAAUGAUGCUUUUUUGGGCAUAUUUUAUCUGCUUUAGUUUGUUUUGAAUAUAUUCUUCGUUUUAAAUUUGUAUUUUAAGUUUCUUUGGGUUUGAGUAUGUUUUCUUGGCUUUGA